UUCUUUGGCCACCAUUGGAGGUCAGGAUGUGAAGAUGGUGACCUGGAACAUCCUGGGCAGGCUCUUCACAGAUGAGGUGUCUCAUCAGAUCAACUAGAAGGGUGUUAAUUACAAAAAGCCCAUCAGUAGGAUGGCAACGAAGACCUUGCUUUUCAGUGCUGUGAGGAAAAACACUGUGACCCGGUCAGCCACGGAUGCAGAGGUCACUAAGCAUGCAAUCAGGUGGUUCAACCUGGCAGCAGAUCGGGCAACGAGGAGACGUGUCCCACCUCCAUCCACACUAACGGAGUAAAAGAAAUGUUUAAACAAUAAACCAUCUUUUUAAUGAA